GGUUGCAUGUACAGUUCUCCAAAGGGGAAAAAAAAGAGGCACCUCAAACACUAGGGCUUGGCAAUAAGAAGUAAAAAACAACCCAAAAGGGCUGUGAUGGCCAAAGCCCAUGGAACACAAGGCACCAUAGUUUUUGAACUGUAGAAGCAACCACAACAAUGACCCAUGGGACAACUACAAAACACUGACAUUAUUACCCCCUACCCUUUGAGGAAAUUCCUACAAGCCAAAACACCAUGACAUGCAAGAGUAAUUUCUAGACCUUGACUCCUAAAAAGAACCAAAGAAGAAGCAAACUGGGAAAAAGCAUGGACCUAUGACGUGGCAUCUUCGAGGGGCAGGGCAGGGCAUCGAUACCCACCGAUGCAGAUUUUGGCACCAUUGUUCUCAGGGAAAAUUGGCCAUUGAAAGAGUUACACCCCUCUACUAGGCAACAGAUCGCCAAGGAAUUGAAGAUCUGAAAAAAUGAGAGGGAGAUGGCCAUAUACCCUGAAAAAAAGAACCAUAAAUAUGCUGCAUGGACUGGGAUGAUCCUUGGUAAAUAUAUAUAUACCCCAAAACUUUUCCGAACUGGCCCCUGUGCGGAACAGCUGCCUAGAGCUAUGGACAUUCGUUUAAAUUCUUCGACUAGCUUCGUUUUGUUAUCAAUUUAUGAAAGAAUGUCACAUCUCCAGAGCUGCUCCACAAGCAGAUCGACAGUGCUACUGCUGAUGGCAUUACAGUGUUGGAUGUUCAGACCCACAAGAGUCUCACCCAGAUUUAUUAAGUCUGCCAAGCUUUUGUCUGAUACGAAUGAGCAACCAGAAAUCGAAAAGAUCUGCAGACUCAGUUGCUUGGCAUGAGCUAGAGCUGCAACUCCUGAAUCCGUGAUCGAGCAUUUUGAGACAUCGAGAUCACUGAGUAACUGGCAGUUGUUUGCAAUGGAAGUCAAGCUAGCAUCGGUGAUCUUCCUACAACCGUCGAGAUUAAGCAUUUUAAGGUUCAAACCAUGGUACUCGAUGAUGGAUGAAACUACCUUGUCAGUCAGGUUGACACAACCACUAACAUUGAUCUUCACUAAACCUGACUGACAGUUUUGAAGCCAAGCUAGAAACCCACAAUCGUCAAUUCCAAGAAGUCCACUAAAUUCCACAUUUUGCAGCUGGGGGCACAGCUUGCCCAGUAAAGCUAGGUUUCUGUUGCCAAAACCACAGCAGUUGCGGAUGGUCAACGACCGCAAGGAUCCACUAGAGGCCGGGAUAGGCAAUUCUGAAUUCAUGUCCUUAAUUCCCAAGCAGCUUAUGAAAGAAAGAGCCUUCAAACUUGUACCGCAGUUCAAAAGGACACCAAAGAAUCCAAACUGAGUAAUCCUGUGGCACUCCUCCAAUUGCAAGCACUCGAGCGACCUUGCAGCUUUUGCAAAAGAGACCAGCCCAUUAUCAGAAAAAAAUGAACACUUCCUUAAACAGAAAUGCUUUAAAUUUGGACUACCCUUUCCAACAGAUUCAAGCCCCAUGUCCGUCACUCCACUGCAGGAAGAAAUUGUGAAUGACUUCAACUUUUGUAGUCCAUGACCAUUACCCAUGACCCAGAACCCUUUCUCACUAACAUUCUUAAGAUCGGUGAGGACAAGGUCAGUAACUGCCUUGCCAUAGUGC
rnacentral:misc_RNA from 1 species